GACGAACGCUGGCGGCGUGCCUAAUACAUGCAAGUAGAACGCUGAAGGAGGAGCUUGCUCUUCUGGAUGAGUUGCGAACGGGUGAGUAACGCGUAGGUAACCUGCCUGGUAGCGGGGGAUAACUAUUGGAAACGAUAGCUAAUACCGCAUAACAGUAGAUGUUACAUGACAUUUGCUUAAAAGGUGCAAUUGCACCACUACCAGAUGGACCUGCGUUGUAUUAGCUAGUUGGUGGGGUAACGGCUCACCAAGGCGACGAUACAUAGCCGACCUGAGAGGGGGAUCGGCCACACUGGGACUGAGACACGGCCCAGACUCCUACGGGAGGCAGCAGUAGGGAAUCUUCGGCAAUGGACGGAAGGCUGACCGAGCAACGCCGCGUGAGUGAAGAAGGGUUUCGGAUCGUAAAGCUCUGUUGUAAGAGAAGAACGAGUGUGAGAGUGGAAAGUUCACACUGUGACGGUAUCUUACCAGAAAGGGACGGCUAACUACGUG
rnacentral:rRNA from 1 species